AAAGGGUGCGUAGGCGGCUUAUUAAGUCAGGGGUGAAAGGCGGUAGCUUAACUAUCGGAGUGCCCUUGAUACUGAUGAGCUUGAAUGCAGCUGAGGUAGGCGGAAUGUGACAAGUAGCGGUGAAAUGCAUAGAUAUGUCACAGAACACCGAUUGCGAAGGCAGCUUACUAAAGUGCGAUUGACGCUGAGGCACGAAAGCGUGGGGAUCAAACAGGAUUAGAUACCCCAGU
rnacentral:rRNA from 1 species